rnacentral:rRNA from 1 species
AGGCGGAUGGAUAUAGCAAAAAUGAAAAAUUGCUUUUCCAAAGCCGUGCAUUAGAAGAAUUGAAUGACCUUUAUAAUAUUGUCUGUAAAAAAAAAUGUUUACAAAUUAGGAGAAAAUGAUUAAAUCAUUUAACUCCUUUAUCAUUGGCUAUUUGAUGAUGUGAUGACGGAUCAAUUAUUUCUAAUGGUCGGAGAGGUGUGUUAUGCACUGAUGGAUUUACCAAAGACGCCGUCGAAAUUUUAGUCAGAUAUCUAAAAGUGUGCUGACAAGUUGAGGCGAGGAUUGGUCCUAUCCACCGAAAAAGAGAUGAUGACAGUAGCAGCAAAGAAUAUUACCGGAUCUGGUUUAGUACGGAGGAAUUAAAAAAAUUCCUACGGUUAAUUUUACCAUUUAUUCCGGUUCCAAGUAUGAUUAGAAAAGCCUUAAUAAUUUAUAAGAAUCCCGAACUUCAACAACGCUGAAUCUCUGAACUAAAAAAUCUCACUCCUCAUUAUUCUAAAAAUAUUGAUGAGGAACUGGUUAAGAAAAAACAGAGAAUGAUAUAGUCCAAUUUGGCAUUAGCCAAUUUGACCCUAGUAGUCCACGCCCUAAACGAUGAGUGCUAGAUAUUGGGAACUUGAUUCUCGGUGUCGCUAGGUAACCCGGUAAGCACUCCGCCUGGGUAGUACGCUCGCAAGAGUGAAACUCAAAGGAAUUGACGGGGACUCGCACAAGCACUGGAGCAUGUGGUUUAAUCCGAUGCAACGCGUAGAACCUUACCAAGGCUUGACAUGUUUGGCAAAACUGUGGAAACACAGCGGAGGUUAUCCAAACACAGGUGCUGCAUGGCCGUCGUCAGUUCGUGCCGUGAGGUGUAUGGUUAAGUCCUAUAACGAACGCAACCCUUGGGCUUAGUUGCCAGCAUUCAGUUGGGGACUCUAGGCCGACUGCCUGAGUAAUCAGGAGGAAGGAAAGGAUGACGUCUGGUCGUCAUGGCCCUUAUGUCUUGGGCGACACACGUGCUACAAUGGUUAAUACAAAGGGACGCCAACCCGCGAGGGGGAGCAAAUCUCAAAAAAUUAGCCUCAGUUCGGAUUGGAGGCUGCAACUCGCCUCCAUGAAGCCGGAAUUGCUAGUAAUCGCCAAUCAGCCAUGUGGCGGUGAAUACGUUCUCGAGUCUUGUACACACCGCCCGUCAAAUCACGAAAGUCGGUAAUGCCUGAAACCAGUCUGUUAACCGCAAGGAUACGGCUGACAAGGGUAGGAUUGGCAAUUGGGGUUAAGUCGUAACAAGGUAUCCGUAGGGGAAUCUGCGGAUG